CGCCGCUUUGGUCACUGGGCUGCGGGCGCAGCGUGUCCCUGGCCUAUGUCUCCUCCGCUCCUCCCCGCGCACCAUUUUCUUUCCCCUCUCAGCAAGGCACAGGGGAAGCAACGCGGCGGCAGCUUCCCUCCUCCUUUCUCCUCAGAUGCCCUUUGCUACCGCUGCAGGUUUAUUAUUACAGCGCGGGACUGCUCGCUCCUUCCCGCCUCCCGCGCCGGGGCUGGCAGGGCGCCGCGGCUGUGCAGCUCCUUGGCCAGCCUCCCCGCCUGGCACCCCACCAGCCCGGCUCUGGAUUAUUUGUCUGGAAAGCAGCCGCCGCUCUCCGGGGAAGCGGGGGGGAAGGAGGGCAAGUUAACCGACAGCCGCGCGCCCCAAUGGCUGCUCGCUCCUCCCCGGCCCGGCGCUCGGGCCCAAGCAACAGGGCCAGCAGCACCGCCAGAGGAAAGAGGAGCGAGCCGAGCCGAGCCGAGCCAAACCCCACCCCCCAUUCCUCCAGCGAGGCGGCUGCUGCUGGGUUGCCAGUGCUCUCCGCAGUCCGUGCGCAGUGAUUGGUCGGCUGGGUCUCUGGCUGCUAGACAGCGGGGGGACUUUGAAUCAUGUAGAAAGGACAGAAAGGGAGCAGGGGCUUUUGUCUAUUAUUCUCUUUGUGGUACCGGAGAGAAACUGCAGUCCCAAGACUUAAGAGUCUAAAAAUG
rnacentral:lncRNA from 1 species